GGGGUUGUGUCUCAGUGGUACAGUGCUUGCCUGGCAUGCAUGAGGCCCUGGGUUUGAAUCUCAGCAACACAU
rnacentral:tRNA from 1 species